rnacentral:lncRNA from 1 species
GUCUUUAAUAAACCAUGUCACAUUUGAGGGAAAAGUGAUUUUGUACUAUGUUGUUCCAUCUGGAAAAGUUGAUGACUCUUGUUUUAUUUGCAGUAUUGAAGACGGAACUCUGGGCUUUUCACAGCUAAAAGCAUGCUUUAUUACUGAGCUUCGUCGCCAGCCCUUGAUUCUUUAAAAGGCACCACAAGUGAAAAAGGUGGCCUUGUCAGCGAGUCCCAAGUGGUAAAGCUUACGGCAGGCGCCUUGUUCUGUGCCAUACACGCAGUGGAGUAUUGUGGCAGAACAUGGUCUGGUUUCAGAGUCUUAGCCAAGACCACAGCACUUGCUCAUGAC